UUUUGGCGUCGAACCAUUCAAAUCGGGUGUUUCGCGACGAUAAAAAUGCGAUAGGUAGUAGAAUCGAUCUGCAUUGAAGUCAACUUCAAUCGCAAUUCGAGAUAUCGACGUACGGAAAUCUCACAUCUGUGUUUUCAACUUUCAAGCACAUCAAAGAUAAACGUUGCAGCUGCACGGCUAAGCGAAUCGGGUGAAUGAGAACUGUAAAUUAAUGAUAUAAUUGAUAAAUUGAUAUUAAGUAAUCGUUAGUUUUAAUUUUUGUGAUCUAAUAAUAUUAAUUAAGUUUGUUCGAAGUGUGAAAAUGUUUUUUCGUAUCUGGAUAAUUAGAGAAAUUUAUAAAUAAGUGUGAUCACAUGGGAAAAGUGUCACCGAUCAAUAACAUAACCAAAAUGAAGUGACCAAGUGAUUUUUGCGGUAGUUUAUCAUAUCGGAUUUAUCAUUUUUAAACCAUGGUGUCCGGUGAUGUCGACAAAUUCUUACCCGAGCCUGACAACUACGCUAAAUACUUUCACGAGCUAUUCAAGAAUCUAGCGGACAUUCAAAGGGGAAAGGGAGAUUCGAAAAAAACGAAGAAGUCUAAAACCGC